rnacentral:pre_miRNA from 1 species
UACAACGUUUGGCUCUUCGUCUUAUUUAAAAAUUUUCUUAAUAUUUUUAUUAUUAUUAGAUGAUAAAAUAUAAAUAGGAUUUUAUGCAUAACUAAUUUUUAAAAUAAAAUUAUAUAUUUUUUAAAUAAGACGAAUGGCCAAACAUUGGG